rnacentral:rRNA from 1 species
UACAUGCAAGUCGAACGCUCUUGACCUUCGGGUCACUAAGAGAGUGGCGAACGGGUGCGUAACACGUGAGAAACCUACCCCGAAGACGGGAAUAGCCCGAGGAAACUCGGAUUAAUACCCGAUAUCUCCACACUGUCGCAUGGCAGAGUGAAGAAAGUUCAGGCGCUUCGGGAGGGUCUCGCGGCCUAUCAGCUUGUUGGUGAGGUAACGGCUCACCAAGGCAUCGACGGGUAGCUGGUCUGAGAGGAUGAUCAGCCACACUGGGACUGAGACACGGCCCAGACUCCUACGGGAGGCAGCAGUAGGGAAUCUUGCGCAAUGGGCGAAAGCCUGACGCAGCAACGCCGCGUGGGGGAUGAAUGCCUUCGGGUUGUAAACCCCUUUCAGCAGGGACGAAAUUGACGGUACCUGCAGAAGAAGGUCCGGCCAACUACGUGCCAGCAGCCGCGGUAAUACGUAGGGACCAAGCGUUGUCCGGAAUUAUUGGGCGUAAAGAGCUCGUAGGCGGUUCAGUAAGUCGGGUGUGAAAACUCAAGGCUCAACCUUGAGACGCCACUCGAUACUGCUGUGACUUGAGUCCGGUAGAGGAGUGUGGAAUUCCUGGUGUAGCGGUGAAAUGCGCAGAUAUCAGGAGGAACACCAGCGGCGAAGGCGGCACUCUGGGCCGGUACUGACGCUGAGGAGCGAAAGCAUGGGGAGCAAACAGGAUUAGAUACCCUGGUAGUCCAUGCCGUAAACGUUGGGCACUAGGUAUGGGACCAUAUCAACGGGUUCCGUGCCGUAGCUAACGCAUUAAGUGCCCCGCC